CCGCCUGUCACGCUCUCCUCACCUGGGACCUUAUCUUGCUUUUGGUUACGGAAUAGGAGGCCUGAGUGUAGAGCGGUUUUCGCCUUUGUUUCCCUCUCAUACUUUCCCCUCCCAUGGCGCCUAAAAAGCUACUGCUGAUACUGCGGAGCUAGUUAGUAUCGGCUCUAUGAUGUGCGUUCUUCCAGUAGGAGAUUUUCCGAGGGAGCGAGCCACCUGGUUCCACACCACAAAGACACAGAGGACACCGGACCACCAGACCACUGUACUGGAGGCAGCUUUUGAACCAACCACAAGGAUUUUAGACAAAACAGGAACAAACCAAAAGAGAUCAUCUUAUAACUUGGAGCAAGGAUGGACCUCAACAUGGUUCCCAGCUUUGAAUUUUCAUGCCUGAGGAAUCAUAACAGCCUCACAUCUCUUCUCCACCUCUUCUCCUCUCAUCUCUUCAUCACCACUCUCUCCUGUACUGCUGUGUCCUGACACUCGAGGACAGUUCUGGAAUUGAAGGUCAGAAUCCUGUGUUGCUCGGAAUGGGGUUGCUGAUGGGUUUUAAGGGCACAGAGCCAGAGCCCAAAGGAAAGGGGAGGAAGUGCAGUGCCUGUGGCUCCAUGGAGGAGGCAGCUCAGGGCUGGUCACUCUGUCCCUCCCACAAUACCAACUUCCUACUCCUCUUUUUCCUGAAGGUGCCCCUGCUACUGGUUAUGUCCAAAGCCAUCCUCUGGGUGAAUAAGCCUCAGAGGCCUCCUUGUGGGAAGACAGCAUCAAGCUGCAAGACUCCUGCGACUCCCAUGUCCACUGAUGCCCACAGCCUUUCAGACUCCAGAAGGAACCCCUGAUCCUGGGCCUUAUGUUUAUCUUCAUCUUAUUGCUAGAUACCUUUUAAAAUGUAAAAAUAAUUAAAUAAAAUAUAUGAUGUCCAUAGUUUGAGGACCAAAAUAA
rnacentral:lncRNA from 1 species